rnacentral:misc_RNA from 1 species
UUUCCGUAGGUGAACCUGCGGAAGGAUCAUUCAUAAUAAGUGUUUUAUGGCACUUUUUUAAAUCCAUAUCCACCUUAUGUGCAAUGUCAGGGUUGAUUUUUCUCUCGAGAGGAUCAACCCCAAACAUCAACUAUAUCUCAACUCUUUGUCUGAAAAAUAUUAUGAAUAAAACAAUUCAAAAUACAACUUUCAACAACGGAUCUCUUGGCUCUC